rnacentral:rRNA from 1 species
CGAGAAAGCCCGCAAGGGUGAGUAAAGCGGCGCACGGGUGCGUAACACGUGGGUAAUCUGCCCUAGAGUCUGGAAUAACUCGCCGAAAGGCGUGCUAAUGCCGGAUGAGACCACGGGAGCCUCGGCUCCUGCGGGAAAAGGUGGCCCCUGUAUACAAGCUAUCGCUCUAGGAUGAGCCCGCGGCCCAUCAGCUAGUUGGCGGGGUAAUGGCCCACCAAGGCUACGACGGGUAGCUGGUCUGAGAGGACGAUCAGCCACACUGGAACUGAGACACGGUCCAGACUCCUACGGGAGGCAGCAGUGGGGAAUCUUGCGCAAUGGGCGAAAGCCUGACGCAGCAACGCCGCGUGUGUGAUGAAGGUCUUCGGAUCGUAAAGCACUGUCGCGAGGGACG